rnacentral:rRNA from 1 species
CUACGGGGGGCUGCAGUCGGGAAUAUUGCCCAAUGCGCGAAAGCGUGAGGCAGCAACGCCGCGUGCGCGAUGAAGGCCUUCGGGUCGUAAAGCGCUUUUCGGUGGGAGGAGGAAGGACCGUACCACCGGAAUAAGGUACGGCUAACUACGUGCCAGCAGCCGCGGUAAAACGUAGGUACCGAGCGUUAUCCGGAUUUACUGGGCGUAAAGCGCGUUCAGGCGGUCUGGCAAGUCGGGCAUGAAAUCUCUCGGCUCAACCGGGAGGGGUGGGCCGAGACUGCUGGGCUUGAGGGCAGUAGAGGGUGGUGGAAUUCCGGGUGUAGUGGUGAAAUGCGUAGAGAUCCGGAGGAACACCAGUGGCGAAGGCGGCCACCUGGACUGUACCUGACGCUCAAACGCGAAAGCUAGGGGAGCGAACGGGAUUAGAUACCCUGGUAGUC